UACGGAGGGUGCGAGCGUUGUUCGGAAUCACUGGGCGUAAAGCGCGUGUAGGCGGCCUGCUAAGUCUGAUGUGAAAGCCCGAGGCUCACCCUCGGAAGUGCAUUGGAAACUGGCAGACUGGAGUCCCCGGAGAGGAGGGUGGAAUUCCUGGUGUAGCGGUGAAAAUGCGUAGAUAUCAGGAGGAACACCGGUGGCGAAGGCGGCCCUCUGGACGGUGACUGACGCUGAGACGCGAAAGCGUGGGGAGCAACGGG
rnacentral:rRNA from 1 species